rnacentral:tRNA from 1 species
GCCGUACAAGCCGAAAGGGUUGAGGCGCCGGUCUUCCAAACCGGAGUACGGGGUUCGACUCCCCGGUACGGCUC